rnacentral:lncRNA from 1 species
CUGUAUGAAAAAACUUAAACCAAUACUAUGUGAGACAAUAACAUUCCCUAUUAGACACAUACAACCUAUGAUUGCGAUUAUUUUUGCAAAAUAACUUAUUCAACCAAAAAUUGCUAGAGGUGCAAAAUUUAGCUGAGAUCCCGCAAAGCAAGGAACUAAGAUUUACUAGGAAGACAAGACCCUAUAUGAGUUGCCUACAUAUCAUACCCCGAAAGACGAGAAUCAAGUUUGCGUAGUUCGGGAAAAUUGGAUACGGGCAAGAAUUAAAAAAACAGCUAAUUUUUUAAAGAAAAUAUUU